AAGCUGAAAAAAUAAAUAAAUAAAAAAGGAAGAAAGAAAAGCGAAUCCCAAAGUUUUCCGAUCACUUUCCUUCUCUUUCUCUCCCUCUGUUUGUUUUAUGGGAAAAUCACUCCCAACCACAACCAGGCUUCAAGAAUUCGCUAGGGUUGUUACAUCUGAGAAGUUCCAAAGUCCCAAGCACGCAAAACCCAUAUCGAGAAACCGGGUUUCGCCUCCAGAAACAACGAAAUUGAGAGGGGCACGACUCGGCUCGGAACGGGUGAGGUUGAAGAUGGAGAGCUCAGAGGGGCAGCGUCGGAUGCCGCUGGCCCAGGUGGUCUCCGACUGCGCAAAGCGUUGGUUUCAGGACACUCUUAAAGAAGCCAAAGCUGGUGACACAACCAUGCAGGUUUUGGUGGGUCAAAUGUACUUCAGUGGCUAUGGAGUUUCCAGAGAUGCUCAGAAGGGCCGGGCUUGGAUUAGUAGAGCUUCCAAGAGUCGAUCGUCAGCUUUGAAAGUUGGUGAUAAGCAUCCAGGUUACAAUGCAAGUGACUCUGAUUCAGACGACUUGAAGAAUGAUGAAAAAUGAAGGCAAAUGUACUUUCCUAUCCAAUUUAAAGAUGAGCAUGUGAAAAAUGAUGACUUGAAUUUCUUGGACCGAGUUUUUAAAUUUUAUUUGAAUUUCUUUUUAGUCUAUCAAACAUACAAAUUUGCAAUUGUCUUUACUGUUUACAGUAGGAAAAUAAAAUAUUGCACUACAUGCACUUUCCAACCCCAAAAAUUGCAAAGUCCUGUGGGAAGAAGACCAAUGUAGUUAUUCCUUCUCACUUUUGUGCUCUAAUUGAAAUUGGGGCUUGCAAAGGGCCUAUCUCCUAGUUUUUCUUUUAUAGUAGAUGAUAAUAAGGCUUUGUUUAAAGAAUAAGGUGGUCAAAAGAAGCCUCUGAUUUAAAGUCUGUACUAAAUACCUUAUACUGGUUUAUGAUCACUCUUAUGUUCCUUUUACUUUGAAAAGCUAAGUUGUUGCAAGCUUAGUCACAUAAUCUGUCUGGAGGUUAUUUCUAUCGGUUUCAACUUUUUCACCCUAAGGGUAGCUGUUGGAAUGCAAAAGCCAAAACACCGAAAUAUCUUCCCACUUAACCAUUGUGGAUAUGGUCAUUUUUGUAGAUGGUGUAAUUGCAUUUCUAGACCAUCAAGAGCUCCAAUGGGUGAACUCCUAAUUGUUGCUCGUUUUGUCUUUCCACUUAGUUGUUCUCAAUUUAUUUUAUUUUAUUCAAGUUAUAGACAUAUGCAACCCAAACACAACCAUCCUGACAUUCAUGGACCAACACCACCCAAAAGUAUAUACGCAAGUUUGUGGUGUUGUUUGAGCUUGUGUACUUGGAUCUUCUCUAUUGGGUUAAUUUUGGUUAAAAUUGUUGCUUAAGUGGUGAGAUAGAUCCAUAUAAUGUCACUCUAUAUGCUCAUUUUCUUUUGCUUUGGUAAUGGGCCAGCUUAACCGACAUAUAGAGGAAGACUUCCCAUGGCAUAUCUUGGCAAAUAAUUUUGGUUGAGGACAAUAUGAGUUUUGUUCUAAGCUUUUGGUUGAUGAUGCUAUAUUGGGGUUCCAAUCUAAAUUAAAACUACUGAAAUGUACUUUAUAAUAUUAAUGUUUUAAGAUGAGCAUGACUGAGAAUCAUCAGAUCAGCUUGGAAGGUAUAAUCGGUCCCUUGUUAGUUGGUGUUGGUUUUGCAAAGCUGGGGAAGAGAUGGACAUCACAUUCUUAUUCAUUGUGGAAAGGUGUUGCAGUUGUGGUCCUUGGGAUUCACUUUAUCUGAGGUCUCUUGGUUCUAGACCUUUCUGUUGAGAGAUAUGUCUUGGUUGGCAUGAUAGUUUGGGGGGAGGGGGGAAGAGUCACAUGAGAGUGUGGAAGCCCUGCCUGUUUAUGCUUGUUUUGGUGUAUCUGAAAAAAAGAGAUUUCUUCUAAAAUCCUGUUUGCUUAGUCUGUUGAUUUGGUUUGGCUUCAUAGUGUUCCCAUCUUAGAUUCCAUCGAUAGCUUAGGUGUAGGUUAGGCCAGUGUAAAGCUUUUUGUAUCUGUUGUUUUCUUUUAUUAAUGUUCUUUAUGUACUUCAUUUUUUCUAUUUCUAAUUUAUACAUAUCUAUCUUUGCCUAUCAUAAAAUAAAAAAUAAAAAAAAACUUCAUGCACACUUGGAUUGUGCCCUCCCUCUUUUUAGUUAGGUAUAUGUAUGUAUGUAUGUACACACACACGCACACCCACACACUCACAUAUAUAUAUAUAUAAUUGCCCUUGAAAAAAGAAAAAGAAAAAGAUGAACAGGAUUGAGAUUGUAUCAUAUGUGACUCCUUUUAACAGUCAAAACUAGGAGCAUACAUGAAUAGUGAUUGGCUAGGACAUACUCAGCAGUAAAUAUUUUCAUUGUCUCAUGUUCGGAUCAAUUAUCAACGAGGAAGGAGUAAUUGGAGAGUGGUGUACAGGGAUGGAUGAAGUUGAGAAUGCUUUUGGUCUUGUCUUGGCCUGUGCCAAUUACAUGCUUGCCAGGUUUCAGUAACAAUCAGCAGCUUCUAUUGUCUCAUUUUUCCCUCUACUUAGUUCAUUUCUUUUCUCGAAUUUUUGUUCAUUAGUGGGUACAUUAACUGUCACUUUUUUUUUUUUUUUAAUCUUUUAUAUACAUGGUAAAAAGAACUGUUUGCUCUAUUUUCACUGAAGUUUUUGGGGCUGUGAUAGAAUCUUUUCAUGUUAAUUUUUUGUGGAAAUUGAUGGAUUGAUGAGGCAAUUAAUGCUAUGUUGAUGAAUAAAGAGAGUUCUUGCCCUUUUUACA